rnacentral:misc_RNA from 1 species
GAAAUGCGAUAAGUAAUGUGAAUUGCAGAUUUCAGUGAAUCAUCGAAUCUUUGAACGCACCUUGCACUCCUUGGUAUUCCGAGGAGUACGCCUGUUUGAGUGUCAUUAAAUUCUCAAAUCUUUAAUUGUUGUAAUGACGAUUGAAGACUUUGGAUGUGGGAGUCUAUUGCUGGCUUUUACUAGUCAGCUCUCCUUAAAUACAUUAGUGGUUACUGUUCUUCCACUUUGGUGUGAUAAUUAUCUACGCCUAUAAGUGAAGAUGUUAAGUGUAGCUGCCUUCUAACAGUCCGAGUCUUAUUUGGACAAUUUUUGAACUGUUUGACCUCAAAUCAGGUGGGAUUACCCGCUGAACUUAA